rnacentral:rRNA from 1 species
GAUGAACGCUGGCGGCGUGCCUAACACAUGCAAGUCGAACGGAGUCCAGCCUUUAAGACCUUCGGGUCAAAGAGGGGAAGACUGAGUGGCGGACGGGUGAGUAACACGUGGGCAACCUGGCUCAUAGAGGGGGAUAACAGAGAGAAAUUUCUGCUAAUACCGCAUAAGCACACACUGCCGCAUGGCAGAGGGUGAAAAGAGAAUCGCUAUGAGAUGGACCCGCGUCUGAUUAGCCAGUUGGCAGGGUAAGAGCCUACCAAAGCGACGAUCAGUAGCCGAUCUGAGAGGAUGAACGGCCACAUUGGGACUGAGACACGGCCCAAACUCCUACGGGAGGCAGCAGUGGGGGAUAUUGCACAAUGGGGGGAACCCUGAUGCAGCGACGCCGCGUGAGUGAAGAAGUAUUUCGGUAUGUAAAGCUCUAUCAGCAGGGAAGAUAACGACAGUACCUGAAGAAGAAGCCCCGGCUAACUACGUG